rnacentral:rRNA from 1 species
AUUGAACGCUGGCGGAAUGCUUUACACAUGCAAGUCGAACGGCAGCACGGGGGCAGCCCUGGUGGCGAGUGGCGAACGGGUGAGUAAUGCAUCGGAACGUGCCCGGUCGUGGGGGAUAACGUAGCGAAAGUUACGCUAAUACCGCAUACGAUCUGAGGAUGAAAGCGGGGGACCUUCGGGCCUCGCGCGAUCGGAGCGGCCGAUGUCAGAUUAGGUAGUUGGUGGGGUAAAGGCCUACCAAGCCGACGAUCUGUAGCUGGUCUGAGAGGACGACCAGCCACACUGGGACUGAGACACGGCCCAGACUCCUACGGGAGGCAGCAGUGGGGAAUUUUGGACAAUGGGCGCAAGCCUGAUCCAGCCAUUCCGCGUGCAGGACGAAGGCCUUCGGGUUGUAAACUGCUUUUGUACGGAACGAAAAGGCUCUGGCUAAUACCUGGGGCUCAUGACGGUACCGUAAGAAUAAGCACCGGCUAACUACGUG